AACGAACGCUGGCGGCAUGCCUAACACAUGCAAGUCGAACGAGACCUUCGGGUCUAGUGGCGCACGGGUGCGUAACGCGUGGGAACCUGCCCUUAGGUUCGGAAUAACUCCCCGAAAGGGGUGCUAAUACCGGAUAAUGUCUUCGGCCCAAAGAUUUAUCGCCGUUGGAUGGGCCCGCGUUGGAUUAGCUAGUUGGUAGGGUAAAAGCCUACCAAGGCGACGAUCCAUAGCUGGUCUGAGAGGAUGAUCAGCCACACUGGGACUGAGACACGGCCCAGACUCCUACGGGAGGCAGCAGAGGGGAAUAUUGGACAAUGGGCGAAAGCCUGAUCGAGCAAUGCCGCGUGAGUGAUGAAGGCCUUAGAGUUGUAAAGCUCUUUUACCCGGGAUGAUAAUGACAGUACCGGGAGAAUAAGCUCCGGCUAACUCCGUG
rnacentral:rRNA from 1 species